rnacentral:lncRNA from 1 species
UUUAUUUAUUUAUUUAUUUAUUUAUAAAUAUAAUGUAUUUUAAUUAUAUAUAGGCUUUAAUUUAAUUUGGACUAUUAUUGUUGGCCUAUAAAAUAAAUCCAACAAGUACAAUCGUGCAAUUGAGCCCAACUCUAAAUUUACAUAACACACUCUCUCUUUCAGACUUUCACUGUUACACAUAACUCUAAAACAUGAUAACUUUCAAAUUCUCAAAUUCCUAAUUUUUUUCCCCUCUUUCUCUCUCUCUUUCUCGUUCUCCCUCAGACCCUCACCCACUCAGGCAGUCACCCUAGCUCACAUUUCUUGCAAUUAUUUUGUAUUUUGAACUAUCGGACAUGUUGUAUCAAAUUGUAGGUAAUGUUAUAUAAAAAUUAAACUAUUGAUUAUAUAAUGUCGAGAAUUUCAAUCGGCUCGUUUAGAGCUCGAGCUUGGCUCGACUCGAAAUUA